ACCACUUCGGUGGUUAGCGGCGGACGGGUGAGCUAACACGUGGGCAACCUGCCUGUAAGACUGGGAUAACACCGGGAAACCGGUGCUAAUACCGGAUAAUCCUUUUCCUCUCAUGAGGAAAAGCUGAAAGUCGGUUUCRGCUGACACUUACAGAUGGGCCCGCGGCGCAUUAKCUAGUUGGUGAGGUAACGGCUCACCAAGGCGACRAUGCGUAGCCSACCUGAGAGGGUGAUCGGCCACACUGGGACUGASACACGGCCCARACUCCUACGGGAGGCAGCAGUAGGGAAUCUUCCACAAUGGACNAAAGUCUGAUGGAGCAACGCCKCGUGAGCGAUGAAGGCCUUCGGGUCGUAAAGCUCUGUUGUUAGGGAAGAACAAGUACCGGAGUAACUGCCGGUACCUUGACGGUACCUAACCAGAAAGCCACGGCUAACUACGUGCCARCAKCCGCGGUAAUACGUAGGUGGCAAGCGUUGUCCGGAAUUAUUGGGCGUAAAGCGCGCGCAGGCGGUCCUUUAAGUCUGAUGUGAAAGCCCACGGCUCAACCGUGGAGGGUCAUUGGAAACUGGGGGACUUGAKUGCAGAAKAGGAAAGCGRAAUUCCACGUGUAGCKSUGAAAUGCGUAGAGAUGUGGAGGAACACCAGUGGCRAAGGCGGCUUUCUGGUCUGUAACUGACGCUGAGGCKCRAAAKCRUGGGGAGCAAACAGGAUUAGAUACCCUGGUAGUCCACGCCGUAAACGAUGAGUGCUAAGUGUUAGGGGGUUUCCGC
rnacentral:rRNA from 1 species